GAUAUGAUGAGUAGAUUACUGGGGGAAUCGCUGAAUAUGGCCUGCGCUUAAUUGCGCGGCUAAUUCUUGGUUCUCUGCUAUCAGUUUUCUUUCUCUCAUCCUAAACACAAUGGAGUUUUUUCUCUAUGAACUACUUCCCUGGAGAGCUCGUCUUUCCAGUGGACAUAAACACAAACAACAUUUUGCAUUAUGAAAAACUAUUUAUCAAGAAAUUUAAUAUUCAAAACUUUCAACAACGGAUCUCUUGGUUCUCGCAUCGAUGAAGAACGCAGCGAAUUGCGAUAUGUAUUGUGAAUUGCAGAUUUUCGUGAAUCAUCAAAUCUUUGAACGCACAUUGCGCCCUCUGGUAUUCCAGGGGGCAUGCCUGUUUGAGCGUCAUUUCUCUCUCAAACCUUUGGGUUUGGUAGUGAGUGAUACUCGUUUUUCGGGUUAACUUGAAAGUGGCUAGCCGUUGCCUUCUGCGUGAGCAGGGCUGCGUGUCAAGUCUAUGGACUCGACUCUUGCACAUCUACGUCUUAGGUUUGCGCCAAUUCGUGGUAAGCUAGGGUCAAUGAGCUUAUAGGUGUUAUAAAGACUCGCUGGUGUUUGUCUCCUUGAGGCAUACGGCUUAACCAAAACUCUCAAAGUUUGACCUCAAAUCAGGUAGGAAUACCCGCUG
rnacentral:rRNA from 1 species